AGCGAACGCUGGCGGCAGGCCUAACACAUGCAAGUCGAGCGGCCGUAGCAAUACGGCAGCGGCGGACGGGAUAGUAACACGUGGGAACGCGCCCUUCGGUUCGGAAUAACUCAGGGAAACUUGAGCUAAUACCGGAUACGCCCUUACGGGGAAAGAUUUAUUGCCGAAGGAACGGCCCGCGUCGGAUUAGCUAGUUGGUGAGGUAAUGGCUCACCAAGGCGACGAUCCGUAGCUGGUCUGAGAGGAUGACCAGCAUCACUGGGACUGAGACACGGCCCAGACUCCUGCGGGAGGCAGCAGUGGGAAAUAUUGGACAAUGGGCGCAAGCCUGAUCCAGCCAUGCCGCGUGGAUGAUGAAGGCCCUAGGGUUGUAAAGUCCUUUUAACGGGGAAGGUAAUGACGGUACCCGUAGAAUAAGCCCCGGCUAACUUCGUGCCAGCCGCCGCAGUAA
rnacentral:rRNA from 1 species